rnacentral:rRNA from 1 species
GCAUGUCUAAGUAUAAAUUCUUGUACGAUGAAACUGCAGACGGCUCAAUACAACAGUGAUAAACUAAUAGACUUUCGGGUUUUUAACCUUUUGGAUAACCGCAGUAAAUCGGGGCUAAUACAUACAAGCGAUGGGUGACUGGCAACGGAAGCUCAGCGAUUAUUAGCAUUACUACCAAUACCUUCGGGUCUUGUGGUGAAACCGAAUAAUAUUGCAGAUCGAGGAUUUAUCUUCGACAAGUCUACUGUGUCACUGCCCUAUCAACUUUCGAUGGUACGGUAUUGGCCUACCAUGGUUGUAACGGGUAACGGGGAAUUAGGGUUCGAUUCCGGAGAGGGAGCCUGAGAAAUGGCUACCACUUCUACGGAAGGCAGCAGGCGCGCAAAUUACUCAAUCCCAAUACGGGGAAGUAGUGACAAUAAAUAUCAAUACCUAUCCUUAACGGAGGGCAAUUGAAAUGAACACAAAUUAAAACUCUUAAUUAACACAAUUGGAGGGCAAGUCUGGUGCCAGCAGCCGCGGUAAUUCCAGCUCCAAUAGCAUAUACUAAAGUUGUUGCAGUUAAAAAGCUCGUAGUUGAAGUUAAAGGUUUACUGGGCUAAAGUUAUUUGCCACUCUGGUGGUUAAAUCAACUCCAGUAUUCCUUUUUUUAAUAGCUCUGCUUCUAGCAUCUUUGAUGUUAGUUGUUUGGGCAUUUCACUGUGAGAAAAUUGUGGUGUUUAAAGCAGGCGUCUCGCCUGAUCUUUUGCAGCAUGGUAUGAUGAAACAUGACAUUUUACG